rnacentral:tRNA from 1 species
UGCCCGGUGGUGUAACGGUAGCACCGGAGACUUUGGAUCUCCUUGUCGUGGUUCGAAUCCACGCCGGGCAGCCA